rnacentral:snRNA from 1 species
AUCUGCGGCACAUAUACUAAAAUCAAUUGGAAUCAUUCAGAGAUUAGCAUGGCCCCUACACCAAGAUAACAUGCAAAUUCAUGAAGCAUUCCAUAUUUAA